AGCCAUGUGAUAAGUACAUAGCGAACUAUUCUUUCGCCUUUUACUAAAGAAUACCGUGUACUUGUCACUUAAUAUGGCAUACGAUAAUUUUUGAAAAGAGCUCUCUUAAAUGAGAGCU
rnacentral:snRNA from 1 species